CCCUAUGGGGUGCAGCUUCAAGAUCGGCUCCUUCAGAAGCUGUCCGAAGGAGACCACCACCAGCAUUUCCGGACGCAGCUCCGACAGCUUUGCGAGGAAGCCGGGGGAGUUCACCGACUCCACGCGUUCGCAAGGCAUGCCCAGUUCGUCGGCCCUCCGUCCGACUGGCGUUGGAGUUGGGAUGCGUUUGCGGCCCGCAGGACGGUCCGGCUGUGUGCCGGCCCCGACAAGUUCAAUGGAGUCCGAACUUGCCAGCGAUUCCAUGACCGGAGUGGCGAAAGCCCCUGAGCCCAGGAAAUAUGUCCUUGUUUUAAGAGACAUGGAUAGGGCUCCUACCUUCGGUCAGGAAUUGGCGGGAGGGC
rnacentral:rRNA from 1 species